AAUUUUUUAUUUUCCUUUUCUUUUGUUUUUGGUUUCAAUCGAUCUAGGUUAAGCAAGUUUUGCAAGGAUUUCUCACUUGAUUUAUAUUUUUAUUCACAAGGUUCUGAAGAUUUUCUUUUGGAUCAGCAGUUCUUCCGAUGAAGUGAGAGCUUCGUUACCUUUUUUCCUCUUUGUGAAGUUGUUGCUCUUCUGGUCCUCGGUGUUCUCCGAUUCCGGCUUCUUUCUUCGGUGGAGUGAGAGCUUGGAACCCUAUGAUCGUCAGAUCGGACGGCGGAUCAGCCCAGAAAACAGAGUUGAGAACCGUUUCUUGGAUAGGAGAGGUGGAAGCUCCUGGAAUUAGCUGGAUCUCUCUCAUUGCCGAAAGCAAGUCUAUUUACUUGGAUCUUAAAUAAGCUUAUCAUCUACCUCAUGUUUGUGAAUGUCUACACUGUAAUACUAAUUUGGUAAAAGG